CCUUCCGGUGAGCUUGCGAGCUUAAACGGACGCGGUAAAUCGUGCAAAGGUAGCUAAAUUAUGGCCUAUUAAUUGUAGGUCCUGUGAAUGGUUUGACGAGUCUUCAACUGUCUCUGAUUUGUUUUGGUGAAAUUGAAUUGGAUGUGCAAAUGCUUCCGUGGAUGAGAAAGACGAGAAGACCCCGUGAAGUUAGAAAUUUAAGCUGUGAACGUUAGUCCUUUGGGUUUUAGAACUGAUUUGGUUUUAGAAGGUUUGGGGUUGGUGUGUCUAACGCUUAAACUGGAAAGUGAAGGAGCAUGGUGGCAGUUUUGGCUGGGGCAGCAAAGGAGCAAGACUAGACUCCUAUUUGAUUUUAAGCAGUUGUGCUACGACCCACAGGAAUAAAGUAAGUUUUUGUGUUUACUUGUUUUGUGUGAUUAGCAGAAGGAGUUACUCCGGGGAUAACAGCGUUAUCCGUCCUGAUAGUCCUUAUAGAUGGGCGGGUUUGCGACCUCGAUGUUGGCUCUGGAUAUCCUUAGGCUUGCAGGCGGUCUUUAGGGUUGGUUCGUUCGCCCAUGAAAAUCCGACGUGAUCUG
rnacentral:rRNA from 1 species